CCUCCUCCUCUGCCACGAUUCCCCUCCCCCGAUCCACCUUCUGCUCUGCCAGGGCGCGCCGCCCCAUCCCAACUGAGUUCCCCCCACCGACGCCGCCCCACCCCAACCCGCUUCUUCCCCCGCCGGCGCCGCCCCACCCCCAUCCCGCUUCUUCCCCCGCUGGUGUCGCCGCUGCCCGGCCACGGCCUUCCCGCGCCCAGCUUCUCUUCCUCCCCUUGUUCAUGGUGCCACCACACCCGGUCCCGGUGUAGUUGAUCCUCUGCCUUCCCCUCCCCAACCCGGAUUUGCAUCCACGGCGGUCAGAUCCUCCUUCCCACCCCGCCUCCGCGCCGGAACCUUUGUCUCGCAGCCGGCGGAGGCCUCACCGCCGGAAACGCCCUCGGUGGUUGGUCGCAGAUCGCGCCAGCACCAACCUCAGCUGCCGGGGAGAUCCACUGUCCCCUUACAUGGCGAGCUCUGCCUCGCGUGGGACUCGGACCACCCCCGACCAACCACCAGGCCUUCUCUCCCUCUUAUCUGGUCACCGUGGAAGACGAGCUGGCCUCCGGCCUCCACCUCACCUAUGAUCCCUCCAUAGACGAGGGGUUCCCACACCGACGGCAUCCCAAAGCGCGCUGAAAGAAAACCAUGAAGUUCGUCCCGCACGUCCAGUGCGUCUCUUUCGAAGCUCCCGUGCAAUGCGCAUGUGCGUUGCAGUGCAGUGCGCUACGGCAAGAAAAGGGAGCUUGUCAGCGACGGGGGACGCAUCGGCGGCGUUUGCGUUGGAGGCGAUGUGCAGUUUGCCGGCGCAUUCCCUGGAUGCAUGCGAGGGGAGUCAAAUGGGGGCACCGAUACCCCACGGAAGAACAGUAGCGGCGCUUUACAGUUUAGAACAAUGGUGCAUUUUUUGCUUUCGAUUUCGGUGUACUCAGUGCAGUAGAUUCCUUAACGCAGUUCGGGGAUUCAGCCAUCUCUUACUCUCUACUGAUGUCAUGCAGUUCGCUACUGUGAUGCGUGGUGUUUGAUUUUAUUUUUCAGACAUGCUCACCCGUUCCCGACAGGAGGACCACACCAAGACGUUUCUGCAGCACACCCACUUGCAGUUCAGUCGGCGGAGGGUUGAGGGCCACCAGGAGGCUGACGACGAGGCAGCCGCAGCGUUCACUACUGCUCGGCGGCAAAGAUUUAUGCACCAGUGUGGACUUGCAGUUCGCCGACAAUCCGCUAGCGGUUGGAGCAGCAAGGGCAUGCAGUCCACUAUUUCCUUUUUUGUUUGUCUUUUGACAUGGUCUCGGCCGAGGACACAGUGCCUUUUCUUUUGCAGUCAUUAACUUGUAUUAGCACAAACUAGGAUUCGCUAACAUGGCCAGCUUUGGUUCAGCUUUGUUUUUGUUUCAGUUACAAAGAAAAUGGCUACCCUGUUAAACAAUUAUUAGGAUAUUUAAUUCUGCAAAGUUGUGCUACUAGUAAAUGUUAUGUACAAAGUGGUUCAGGCAUUUGUGAUGUGAAAAAAAUGAGAUAUAUGUCUGUUAGUUGAUGACAUUGACACUUUUUUAGUAUAUGUUGUACAAAGUAGUACUAAUUGAUGGCUUUUGGUUAUCUGGAGAUUAAGAAGUUCUAAAGAUGGGUUUGAACAUGCAGCUCGCUAGCUCAUUACACGCGGUUCCUUUAGCGCGGGAAGCAGUACACGGCCACACCCGGUGCUUGUGUCUCCAGUAGUUAUCAAGUGUAUUCGGCAACGACGGCAGCAAAAGCUUGGUCUCCGUCCAGAAUGGGGCAGGAAAAGGUUUGCCUCACAAUACUGCGGGAUUCAUUCCUUGUCGGACGGGAUGUACUCCGGCUGCUGCGUGCGUGCGGUUCCCAGGCGUGGGGCACGGCGAUGCAGCCCAGCUGCUGCUGGCGUGCGGUUCCCAGGUACGGGGCACGCCGAUGCAGUCCGGCUGCUGCCGGCGUGCGGUUUUGCCCGUGUGCACCGAAGCCCCGCUAGGAGGACCUGCAGUGCUCGACGAGAACGAUGGCGAGUGGCGUUGACCAUGCAGUACUCCGAUCAUGUCCCGUGCAGUUCGACACAUGUGUGAGUGCAGCUUGGCAUGUAAAUUUUGUGGGGGUUGCAUUUUUCUUCUUCCGAUUUUGAUGUGCCAUGUGAUGUGUGGUUGCUGGAUGUACUUCUUUUUUGAAGUUCUAUUGUUUGUGUCUAAAGGUUCGUUUUA